rnacentral:rRNA from 1 species
GACGAACCGUGCAAACGUUGUUCGGAAUCACUGGGCUUAAAGGGCGCGUAGGCGGGCUCUCAAGUCGGGGGGUGAAAUCGUUCGGCCCAACCGGACAAGGGCUUCCGAUACUGAGAGUCUCGAGGGAGGUAGGGGUCGAGGGAACUGGUGGUGGAGCGGUGAAAUGCGUAGAUAUCACUAGGAACGCCGGUGGCGAAAGCGCUCGACUGGACCUCUUCUGACGCUGAGGCGCGAAAGCCAGGGGAGCAAACGGGG